GACGAACGCUGGCGGCGUGCUUAACACAUGCAAGUCGAACGGAAAGGCCCUGCUUUUGUGGGGUGCUCGAGUGGCGAACGGGUGAGUAACACGUGAGUAACCUGCCCUUGACUUUGGGAUAACUUCAGGAAACUGGGGCUAAUACAGGAUAGGAGCUACUGCUGCAUGGUGGGGGUUGGAAAGUUUCGGCGGUUGGGGAUGGACUCGCGGCUUAUCAGCUUGUUGGUGGGGUAGUGGCUUACCAGGGCUUUGACGGGUAGCCGGCCUGAGAGGGUGACCGGCCACAUUGGGACUGAGAUACGGCCCAGACUCCUACGGGAGGCAGCAGUGGGGAAUAUUGCACAAUGGGCGGAAGCGUGAUGCAGCAACGCCGCGUGCGGGAUGACGGCCUUCGGGUUGUAAACCGCUUUCGCCUGUGACGAAGCGUGAGUGGCGGUAAUGGGUAAAGAAGCACCGGCUAACUACGUG
rnacentral:rRNA from 1 species